rnacentral:rRNA from 1 species
UACGAAGGGGGGCUAGCGUUGCUCGGAAUCACUGGGCGUAAAGCGCACGUAGGCGGCGAUACAAGUCAGAGGUGAAAGCCUGGAGCUCAACUCCAGAACUGCCUUUUGAAAACUGUAUUGCUAGAGUGUCGGAGGGGGAUAGCGGAAAUUGCUAAUGUAGAGGUGAAAUUCGUAGAUAUUAGCAGGAACACCGGUGGCGAAGGCGGCUAUCUGGACGACAACUGACGCUGAGGCGCGAAAAGCGUGGGGGAUCAAACAGG